AUGGCCACGGCCACCACUAGACGCCCCGCAAGCCCCUCGGCGAAAUCCACCUCAAGAGAGAGCAGAUCGGACGACAGGAGGUUCUCCAUCUUCUCGGGGACCAAGAGGCUGCACCUGCGGGCCGAGACGAGGGAGGACAUGGCCGCGUGGCUCGAGGCGCUCCGUGCCACCAAGGAGAUGUUCCCGAGGAUGUCCACCAGCGAGAUGGUCGGGCCGGGGGACACUGCGGCGGCCGCGGCGGUCUCCACCGAGCGCCUGAAGAAGCGCCUGCAGCAGGAACGGGUCAGCGAUGCUGCCAUUGCUGACAGCGAGAGGAUCGUGCGGGAGGAGUUUGAGGCGCUGCACAAGCAGCUUGUGCUUCUCAAGCAGAAGCAGGCGCUACUCCUUGACACGCUCCGCCACCUAGAGACAGAAAAGGUCGAUUUGGAGAAUACCCUCAUUGAUGAGAGCCAAAGACAGUCAAAAGAGUAUGGAUCUGCUUCCAGACCAAGGAAUGAGAAGCUUAGUGGUAUGACAAAUUUAGUUAGUGUAAAUCUUACUGCUACACAUGCUAUUGAUAUACGUGCGUUCUGA
rnacentral:rRNA from 1 species